rnacentral:rRNA from 1 species
AACGAACGCUGGCGGCAUUCCUAACACAUGCAAGUCGAACGAGACCUUCUGGUCUAGUGGCGCACGGGUGCGUAACGCGUGGGAACCUGCCCUUAGGUUCGGAAUAACUCCCCGAAAGGGGUGCUAAUACCGGAUAAUGUCUUCGGACCAAAGAUUUAUCGCCUUUGGAUGGGCCCGCGUUGGAUUAGCUAGUUGGUAGGGUAAAAGCCUACCAAGGCGACGAUCCAUAGCUGGUCUGAGAGGAUGAUCAGCCACACUGGGACUGAGACACGGCCCAGAAUCCUACGGGAGGCAGAAGUGGGGAAUAUUGGACAAUGGGCGAAAGACUGAUCCAGCAAUGACGAGUGAGUGAUGAAGGCCUUAGGGUUGUAAAGCUCUUUUACCCGGGAUGAUAAUGACAGUACAGGGAGAAUAAGCUCCGGCUAACUCCGUG